rnacentral:lncRNA from 1 species
CCAGAACGGGUUCCAGAGAAAGAGCUCCUCAGAUUUCUAAGAAGUCAACCCAUGUCAUGCAGAUCCUGGUGCGAAAUAUGGUAGUAGCCCACAGAUAGCUGCUCUGGUGGCCAGACAGGCUCUUCCUCCUUUAGGAAGGGGCAGGGCAGAGGCAGAGAGCAGCCCAUGGGGAUGGGCAGUGGCCAGCUUUGGGAUGGGGUCUGGUGAAAAAGUCCCUCAUAGCCUCAUCCCUGUGGGCCAGACCCUUUCUCCCGAUAAACUGCCAGCUUACAGCCACUUCUCUAAUCAUGGCCACCUCGGGGUCCCUGACACCCCCUGAAGUGUCCCUCAGUGUGGGGACGUCUCCCCACAUGGCCAGUUUCUGAGCAGUAGCACAGCCAGCCAGAAGCCUGGUUGCUCUUCCCUCCCUGAAACGGUGGUCCACCAUCUCCACCGUCAUCCCUCAGACCACUCUGAUUCUUCUCUCUGUCUCGGGGGCACCUCUACCUCUCCCUAUCCAAUCCCAGAAGCCGCUCUCUCAACAGACAUCAGCAAAGCAUUUGGCAGUUCCCAUAAAAUUGUUGCAGACUGUGGUAGCAAAACAUAGAUGGAUUAUGGUUGGUGGGUCUGUGCUUGAUGGAAAAGUCCAGGUGGGGCGGAUAAGUGCCCGGGCAGGUCUCUAGUUGAGAACCACUGGGCUCUAGUGGAUUGUGCUGUAUUGUGACUUUUCCUUUUCAUCGAAAGGCAGUGUACACUCAGAGAAGUGCACAGGCCACAAGUGUACAGCCUGAAUUUUCAGAAAGUGAGAUUCCCUGUGCAGCUAGCGUCCAGAUGGAGAAAUAGGACUCAGUAAAUAAAGAGCUUCCAGAAAUACCUCUCUUGUCCUACCACUACCACUGUGCAACUCCGCCACCUGUCAGCUUCUGAUUUCUAGCACCCAAUUCAGUUUUGCCUGCCUUUAAACUUCACUCGAGUAGGGUUACACCAGGUCCAUUCUUUUAUGACUGGCUUCUUUCUCUCAACCUGGUACUUGUGAGAUUCAUCUUGUGGUCAAGUAUAGAUGUGUAUUGUUUAUUUUCACUGCAGUUUAGUAUUUAGUAUAAAUAUUUAGUAUUUAGUGACAUUUCUCCAUUCCAUGUUUGCUUAUGUCCCACAUUUUGUUAGUGGAGUGGGAUAGUCAUGAGCAUGCCCAGGUAAAGUCAAGAGUGCUAGAAUCAAGAUCCAAAUGUUCUCAGCAGGCAGAUGCACUGAACCAAAAUCAUUAAGGUAAAUGCAAACCAGGUUCCACGCAGUCAUGAGAUCCACUAAAAACAUCCACUGGAUCAGGACAUGGGGCAGAGGGAGUCAUCAUUCCUCAGGAUUUAACCCCAGACUCCUCUCAGCCAUAGCAUGCCCCUCAGGUGGUCUUGGGGUGGCCAUUGCAGGGCAUGUGGGGGCCAGGGGAGGGGUCUCCAAGCCUUUCUCACUUUGAAGGCUUCUGGCCUGUCUUGAGGCUUCUGUGUGGUUCCUGGUUGGGAUGUGUCUCAGAACCUGAGCCUCUUUCCCAUCUUGUUUGGUGGUGGCAGAACCUCCUUGCCCAACAGGAUUGGAGGAAGCUGCCUGCAGAGACCCGGAGAUUUCUAGAGAAAUCUGGAGGUUUCUUAUAAUGGCAGGGUAUCUGAAGCCAGAACCCAUCCCUGCAUGUCCCGGCUCUAACUGCCCUCAGCGUGCCAUUCUUCACCCCAUUUGCAAAACAGUUUCUAUUUCCUGUUACAGUGGGGACUUCUGCUGGGCUUGUGCCCAAGGGCCUCUAUGGCCUGGGAGUGUCACCCGAUGGGCACAGGGGGGUUUCGGGGCUGCUCACUCGGGUGUGACCGCGCCCUUCAGACCCAGGAGUGCCGAGAUGAAUUCUCUUAGGCUUGUUAUUAAGUAACUUGGCUUACUCAUCGCCUCUGGCCAGCGGGGGGAGAGCUUGCCCAAGCGUGGGGGCAGGGUGAGAGCGGGCACCCUGAUGGCUGCUGUUUAUGGCAUUUUUCAAGAGUCACAGAAGCGUGGCCACCCUAAGUGUUGUGCUUGGGCUGGAAACCCUUGGCCCCUGCCCAAGGUCAAAAAAACAGGUGCAGAGAUUGAAUUUGGGGGCAGGUGAGCCUUAGGAAGGAGGGCGACAGGAGCAGGCAGUGCCCAAGUGACAUGCAAGUCACCAGUGACCAUUGCCACCACCCCAGGGCCGUUGUUCCCAGUGACAAACUGCCUUUAAACUUCACUCGAGUAGGGUUACACCAGGUCCAUUCUGCAUCCUCUCACAGCUUUAUUAUUUUUAAUUGAUUAAUUAAGUCAUUUUAAUCAGUUAUAUAUGGCAGCAGAAUGCAUUUUGAUUCACUGUAAGCAAUUGCCACAGCUUUCUUAGGGAGCCCCUUCUUUUUGACAAAAGCUAGACAUCCUCCUUACCUUCCCUGACCCGUACUUCCCAUGGACCCUGACCUUCACCCUUGCCUGGGCAAUGAUGGAUCCCAGGAUAAGAGUCCAACAGGGGUCAGGAUGUCCAGGAGCUUGGAGACCCCAGCGAGGGCCAGCAGGCCCAUGUCUCAGAUCUCAUAGCUCAGCCACCACCAUCGCUGGUGGCCGCUAUCUUGGGUGCCUGUGAGGGGGAGGGGGGCAGUUUCCACUGAGUCAUUGACACCUGCCUGGAUGCUUUCCUUGCAGGGGCCCUCAGUGUUCCCAUUUCAAGUCAGCUGACCACACCUGGACGUUGGGUGAAGUUGGUGGUUUCAUCUUGCAUUCUAGGACCCAGGGAUCUUGAGUCAGGUCCCCUGGGGCUGUGUGGGGAGAGGAUUAGGGAUGCACCUGGGCUACCCAGGAAAGGGUGUGUGCAUGAGUGACGGGCAGUGGCAGCCCAAGGGCCAUGUGGUGCUCCAGGCAGCGUGGACCCGUGGGCCUCCCUGCCUGCCCCCCACCCCCAACACUAAUGGGGCUCUCUCUGGGUUCCAGGUGUUCUCCUAUGUCGCCACGCUGCUCUACGUGGUCCACGCCGUGUUCUCUUUAAUUAGGUGGAAGUCGUCAUAAAGCAGCCAGACUUGAGCUGAAAACCCAGAGGUGUUGGCGGAUCAGCCCAUCCUUCAGCGUAACUUUCUAGAAGGCAGAGAUGCUCUCAACGGGGCAAAAAGAAGAGAAAAAAAAAAAGCUACACUUUCCCACGGGUAUCAUGUUGACCUUCCCAUUGACCUUUCCACCAGGGCAGGGACUGGCUGCUAACCUGCAGUGCUGAGCUGUCCAGGGCCUCUUCCUGUCUUGGGGGGGCCUGUGGGGUGGGACACGGGGAGCGUGACCUCAGAAGACCACAGCAUCCCUUGCUGGCCCCUGGGCUGGGUCUUGAGAACAGCAGAUGGGAGCUCCCACGGGCUCCGUGGAGACCCAUUUCAUGGGGUGCUUCUAAGCGUCGUAGGAACUGAAACUCACCUGAAAGACAUUUCCAAAUGCCACAGCAGAAGAUGAGAACCCUCUGAAAGACUUUAUAAAGUGCCCAUGUGUAUAGUCCCUCUGUGGCUGUGCUGGGGGUUUGGUUUUGAAUUGCCCCGUGCUGGGAGCCCGCUCCUGGCAGCCUUCUGAGGACCUUUGACUUAAUUAGGAGGCAGCCUCAGUGACAGUCAGAUGACAUCAUGCACGCUCAGCCACUGCCCUCACCCUCCCAGAAUCUACUGCCCGGAUGGCAUCCCCUCCCGGGAAACUCGCCAAGUGCCAGCCUGGGCCCCAGCCAUUCCCCCCAGUAGUCUAGUCUGUGCUCAGUUAGAAUUCCCUUAAACCGCCCAGCGUGGUGGCACCCACUGGUAGUCCCAGUGGCUUCAGAGGCUGAGGCAGGAGGAUCGCAAAUACAGCUUCAGCAGCUCAGUGAGGCGCUAAGCAACUCAGUGAGACCCUGGCUCUAAAUGAAAUACAAGAAAGGGCUGGGGUGUGGCCCAGUGGGUUAGUGCCCCAGGGUUCAAUCCCUGGUACCAAAAAAAAAAAAAAAAAAAAACCAGAAAGAAAGAAAAAAAUUCCUUAAACCCAAAGAAAACUAGGUACAGAUGUUUCCUCUCACUUUUUGUAAAGCUGAUCCGAACUGUUUUGAGCUGUGUGGUCUGUUCUGUGUUCCCUGGUGACAUGGAUAAUCAACUGGUUUUAGAAUGUCGCUGGGGAGAAAGGGGACCCGGCUGCAGAGUGGAAGGAAGCAGAGACAACCGGUGGACACUGGGUUUCUGGUGUUAGCUGUCCAGGCUGUAAGUAGACAAAGGUCCCUAAGUUGGGAAUCUGGAAGCCCAGCCCCUGUUCUGAGUCCCCUUGAUCCCGUGGCUCAAGAAUGAGUGACAUUCCAGGGUCACUGGUAUCAAAAAUCUGGGUCACUGGUAUCAAAAUCUAGCCACUUGCGACAAGUCCAGUGAACAUAACUGAAAUUUCAUAGUAAACCAUGAGCAACAGGCUUGGCAGGGGCUGUAGCUAAAAAGCAAAACUAAACUACAAAUUACGAAAUAAUAGGGGUUUGUCAUGUGUUUACAAAAUUUGUCAUUCAGUGUCGAUGGAGGGAAGUCUCAAAACUGCCCUCUGCAGGGCGCUUACCCCAGAACUUGGUGCAAGCGAGGCUCCUUUGCAUUAUGGAAGGGAGGGAGGCAAGAAGGUUGAAUUGAAUUUCCCAAAGUUAAAUUUUUUUAAUCAUUUAAAUAAACUUUCAUAGGACCUUUCUCAUUUUUGCUAGUGAUAAAGCCCUUACUAGUCCACGGCUUUGCUGACGAGUCUGAUACAGCUUCCUGUCCCUUCUGACCCGAGACCAUUUAGAAAUCUGCAACUCAUUUCCCAUUUGAGUUGCAUCCGAUUUUUUUUUUAAAUACUUUUCAGUAUAGAUGGAUCUUUCUUUUUGUGUGUUAUCUUACUGUGGUGCUGAGGAUCAAAGCCAGUGCCUCACACGGGCCAGGCAAGUGCUCCACCACUGAGCCGUGACCUCAGCCCCUGAAUUGCAUCCUACUGGAAUUGGGUGUGAAUGGGGCAGGUGUGGUUUCCUCAGGCCCCCGAAUGCCCUCCCCAGGUCUUGCUGCCCUUCUCCUGCCCCUCUAACCAACCCACCCGGUGCCCCUCAGCUCCUGCACCAGCUCGCAGCUGUCUGUACCCAGCUGUUUGGUGUCUGCAGGUGCAAGUGUCCGCUGAGUGGCAGUCCUGCCUGCUCAGGGCACCACUCCUCUGAGAACCCAUGAUGCCUGGGGAGCCAGGGGUGACGAGGGAGGACAUUCAAGGAACCCACUGGGCAAGAGCAAAGGCACCCAGACCCCAGAGACUGAGCUAUGGCUGAGCCCCUGACGCUGGCUCCCUUGGCCCCUCCAGGAAGGGGUGGAUCUGGUGCCCAGGCCUCUUUGCAUGGGGGCCUUGGGCAGCCCCUUCUGGCCUUGGGGCCCUGAUUACUCCCAGAUCUGUCCUUAUGCAGAUCUGACCUACUGGCCUCUCAAGAAGUGACGACAAUAAAGUCAGUGCGGUGGCACACACCAGGGACUUGGGACACAGAGACAGAGGAUCACAUGUUGGAAGCCGCUGCCACUUAGUGAGAGCCUGUCUCAACUUGAAGAAUAAAAAGGGCUGGCGAUGGAGUUCAGGGAGAGCCCUGGGUUCAAUCCCCAGGGCUGAAGGGGAGAGAAAAAGGGAGAAGCCACCGUGAGCACCUCUGGUGGACAUGCACGUGGCACGGGCACCUGCCUGUGUGGGCAGAGGGACAGCCCCGACCUCGACCAGGGCCUCACAGGCGGGGGUGCGUGGGCCUUGGACUCCGUCUUCUUUUCGAGAGCGGGGCCAUGACAGUGCCCCGUCAGGCAGCCCCUGGGCUCUCCUCGGAGAGCCAGAGGCCUGCCUGGCCCAGCACGUACCUUGCCAAGGGGAGGGACCUGAGGCUUCCUAGGCCCCCAGAGCAGAGCUCACCUUUCCCCGGGCCUGAGAAAGGAUGGAGGGACUCUUGUCCCUGAUGUGACCAAGAGCCGAAGCUUGCGGACCAGAUGGAGCCGGGGCUCAGUGGGAAGGGACGGGAUAGCAGAUGCCCAGUGGAGUGGCCAGCUGGCAGGGACCUCAGGGGUGGAGCUGGGCCUCUGGAUCCCGUGGACAGUGCUCUGGCUGGACUCAGCCCAGAGAGCCACCCAGGCCGUCCCUGCUGCCUUCUGGGGCCCUCACGCCACUCCCUGGGGCUCCCACGGGGAGAGUGCAGCCCAGGAGGCCCCCGGGUAGGCCGCUGUGGGUCAACUCCAACAGGGCACUGAAUGUUCACCUUGCUCCUGGAGGCUCAGGGGCACCUCCUGGGGGCAUCCUCCUGGUGACCUUCCCCUCAGGGCAGGGUGGCCCGGAGGGUCCCAUGCUGCCCACCUUCUCUGGAAGCCAACCUCCCCACCUGUCCUCUCCUAGUUCGUCCCCAGGGCAUCUGCCCCUCUGUAGAAGACCCACUUCUGGGGAAGUAGGGCUUCCUCCACGUUCUAGAACCUGACGAAACACUGGCUCUUAUUGGAGGUGGAGGUGGACGGCGCCCUGCACCAACCCCACAGGGACAGAAUCCCCGCUGCCAGCCGAGGGCCAGAGGAGCUGGCCUGCAGGGCCCACACAAGGGCCUCUUGUUCCAAGAAGCAGUUGGGGAUGGUGUGGGGUCACAAUGGGGCCUUUCAAGGAGACAAAGGGCCUCUGGCCCAGCUGAGUGACCCCGCACACGUGGGCAUCUGCCCAGGG